AGCAAAUGCAAAGAAUAUGAUUUCAUAGUGCACCUAUUGGUGGUUUUCAACAAUAUAAUUUCCAUUUACCGAUUCAAAAGUUUUGAAAUGAUGAAAGCUCAACCAACAAGGCAUAAGGAGUCAAAAUGGAUGCUUCUCCAUUGUUUAGGCUUGCUAUCAUCAAGUUAUGUCAGCAGGCUUGAUUUCUUAGUUGAAGUUACAAUGAUUACUCAUAAAUUUAAAUUUUAAUUGACAAAUGAUUGCUCAUAAAAUUUUCAUGUGAUAGAGCAAUACCAUGAGAAAGAAACAUUUAGAGAGAGGACAAAUAUCUUCUCAAAAAAAAAAAAAAAGAGAACAAUUAUAAAAAUAUUUUAAAAAUAUAUGGCUUGACAGCAGAAUCACACCUCUUGAUUGAUUAGGGUUUAAU
rnacentral:lncRNA from 1 species